rnacentral:misc_RNA from 1 species
GAACGCACCUUGCGCCCUUUGGCCAUUCCGAAGGGCAUGCCUGUUUGAGUAUCAUGAACACCUCAACUCUUCAUGGUUUUCCAUGAUGAGCUUGGACUUUGGGGGUUUUGCUGGCCUACAAUCAGCUCCUCUAAAAUAAAUCAGCUUGCCAGUGUUUGGUGGGUAUCACAGGUGUGAUAACUAUCUACGCUUGUGGUUUUUCCACCGGUAACCUUCAGCAGUGGAGGUUCACUGGAGCUCACAGAUGUCUCUCCUCAGUGAGGACAGCCCUUUGAAUGUUUGAUCUCAAAUCAGGUAGGACUACCCGCUGAACUUAAG